rnacentral:sRNA from 1 species
CAAGGUUAGCAGAAGCUGGAAUAACUCUUGCUUCCUGGCACUCACCUAAAAAUAGACACACCAGCAGACGAGUCAGACUCCGUGGUAAAAAAAAAUUUACGAUACUCGGCAGACAUGGUCACAUGGCUACAAAAGAUCAACAUUUUUCUGGCCACGAUAAUUGUAUUAAUUUCCUUCAGUUUAUAUACCUCUGUACCGGCUGAUCUAGAAGACCCGUGGAUAGUCAGAACAUAUAUAGCUGCUUUAAGAUCGGCCAACUUUUUGGCCAACACACUCGAGCUGUUGUCGUCUGUCCCUUCUAUCACAACUUUACGCUAUCUGGUGGAAGCUGCUUACUUUCCCCUCAGACUGCCCAACACACUU